AGCAUAACGUCGCAAGACCAAAGAGGGGGACCUUCGGGCCUCCUGCCAUCAGAUGUGCCCAGAUGGGAUUAGCUAGUAGGUGGGGUAACGGCUCACCUAGGCGACGAUCCCUAGCUGGUCUGAGAGGAUGACCAGCCACACUGGAACUGAGACACGGUCCAGACUCCUACGGGAGGCAGCAGUGGGGAAUAUUGCACAAUGGGCGCAAGCCUGAUGCAGCCAUGCCGCGUGUAUGAAGAAGGCCUUCGGGUUGUAAAGUACUUUCAGCGGGGAGGAAGGGAGUAAAGUUAAUACCUUUGCUCAUUGACGUUACCCGCAGAAGAAGCACCGGCUAACUCCGUGCCAGCAGCCGCGGUAAUACGGAGGGUGCAGGCGUUAAUCGGAAUUACUGGGCGUAAAGCGCACGCAGGCGGUUUGUUAAGUCAGAUGUGAAAUCCCCGGGCUCAACCUGGGAACUGCAUCUGAUACUGGCAAGCUUGAGUCUCGUAGAGGGGGGUAGAAUUCCAGGUGUAGCGGUGAAAUGCGUAGAGAUCUGGAGGAAUACCGGUGGCGAAGGCGGCCCCCUGGACGAAGACUGACGCUCAGGUGCGAAAGCGUGGGGAGCAAACAGGAUUAGAUACCCUGGUAGUCCACGCCGUAAACGAUGUCGACUUGGAGGUUGUGCCCUUGAGGCGUGGCUUCCGGAGCUAACGCGUUAAGUCGACCGCCUGGGGAGUACGGCCGCAAGGUUAAAACUCAAAUGAAUUGACGGGGGCCCGCACAAGCGGUGGAGCAUGUGGUUUAAUUCGAUGCAACGCGAAGAACCUUACCUGGUCUUGACAUCCACGGAAGUUUUCAGAGAUGAGAAUGUGCCUUCGGGAACCGUGAGACAGGUGCUGCAUGGCUGUCGUCAGCUCGUGUUGUGAAAUGUUGGGUUAAGUCCCGCAACGAGCGCAACCCUUAUCCUUUGUUGCCAGCGGUCCGGCCGGGAACUCAAAGGAGACUGCCAGUGAUAAACUGGAGGAAGGUGGGGAUGACGUCAAGUCAUCAUGGCCCUUACGACCAGGGCUACACACGUGCUACAAUGGCGCAUACAAAGAGAAGCGACCUCGCGAGAGCAAGCGGACCUCAUAAAGUGCGUCGUAGUCCGGAUUGGAGUCUGCAACUCGACUCCAUGAAGUCGGAAUCGCUAGUAAUCGUGGAUCAGAAUGCCACGGUGAAUACGUUCCCGGGCCUUGUACGCACCGCCCGUCACACCAUGGGAGUGGGUUGCAAAAGAAGUAGGUAGCUUAACCUUCGGGAGGGCGCUUACCACUUUGUGAUUCAUGACUGGGGUGAAGUCGGAACAAGGUA
rnacentral:rRNA from 1 species